ACAAAACUCUGAAAGAAAUCGAAAUGAAAAGCAGACUGCCAGAGAUAAGAUAUUUAGUGUUGAUAUGAAACCUUAACCUCAAAAAUCAUGUAAUGAUAGCCAAAGUGUUUUUACCAGGAAGCUGCCUGAGACUACACAUCAGGUCAGCAAUUCAUGUUGCCAGUAUGUGCAACUGUGAGAAUCAAUUUUAUGAUUACUCAUACACUAUUACAUAGCUUACUGUAUUUGUUAUUUCAAAAUGUCACAACAUGAGCUGUAAUGUCAUGAAGUGACAUUUGUGGUACAGAUCAGGUAGAGUCACAAAGCAUAAAAAUGCAAUGUGCCAUGCAAAUAAAUAUACCUAAGUUGUAGAGUUUCAAAACUUCAGGUGAGAUGGUGGACAAUGGCAGCAAAUACAGCUCGCAAUCACAGCAGCGUCCCUAACUGAUCACAGGGAAGCACAGUCGAUGUUUCACCCACUUAGUAAGUCCAACGUGUAGGUUUCUCUGUGCUGUGUGCUGUUCUGAGCACAGAGUUGAGCCGGAUUCUAGAACAAAGCCUGCUGCUCAGUGUGUAUGUGUGUGUAUGUGAAAGGCUUGGGGCAGUUGCAGCCUUCAGCAGGUUUUAAAUUACAACACAGCUCCUCUGUGUAGGCAGUCUAAACCUUUUACUCCACAGUGAUAUAAAAGGACCGCCUCCAGAACACCAUUUCCUGUGCAUUGGGUCAAUGAGUUAAUGACCUAAAGAACAGAAGGGUUCGCAGAUGGACGAGUCAUAUCGAAAAAAAAUUAUUAAAAAAAGCUUAAAACCAUUUAUUUUUGAGUAAUAACGUAUAAUUCCAAUAUUUAUUUAUUUUUUAAAAAAUCUUAUAGCUUCUGUGCAAAGUGAUCUGUUUAUUUUAAUGUUACAGAUAUGAAUGCAAAUAAUGUGUGGCAUAAAUUAAUAUGGACGGAUUCUGCACUUUUAAGUCUGUUGUGUGUUUGACUUCUGUGUCUCUUAUGCAUUAGACUAAAAUAAGAGCAAUAUUGGACACCCUCUUUUCCCUCGUGUGCAAAGUAACAGCUGCCCUUCAGCGGGAUUUGUGAUCUGUUUCCAAACCCUCCUUGUAAGAAUCUCUAACUGUGCCAGCUGGAAUUUGAUCUUGUGGUAC
ensembl:lncRNA